rnacentral:rRNA from 1 species
UACGUAGGGGGCGAGCGUUGUCCGGAUUCAUUGGGCGUAAAGCGCGCGUAGGCGGCUUGGCAAGUCGGCCGUGAAAUCUCCAGGCUCAACUUGGAGGGGUCGGGCGAGACUGCUGGGCUCGAGGUGGGCAGAGGGCAGUGGAAUUCCGGGUGUAGUGGUGGAAUGCGUAGAGAUCCGGGGAACACCAGUGGCGAAGGCGGCUGCCUGGGCCUGGCCUGACGCUGAGGCGCGAAAGCGUGGGGAGCGAGCCGG